ensembl:lncRNA GNG12-AS1 GNG12, DIRAS3 and WLS antisense RNA 1
UUCUCGACCCACUUGUUUGUAUACAACCACGCCCGGCAGGAUGACCACCAGAUGACCGGCCGCAGCAAUGCCUCCACUCAGUCCCAGUUGGGCAAAGUUUCACUCCACUGCGGCGACGUGAACAAGAAUCACGGCUUCCUUAUCGCUGCUGUGAGGUUCUGCCAUUCAUCUUGUCCUCUUCCUGGGACUGAGUGGAUACUUGUGCCAUUUUUCAAGAUCAAGAAUAUGGAAAAAAUGACUCCUUAGCUCUUCCUAUCCCUGAGAUUCCUCGACUUUGUAAUCUAUCAAUUACACAAUUCUCCAAUGUUUAAUAA